rnacentral:rRNA from 1 species
AUUGAAAGCUAGCGGGAUGCUUUACACAUGCAAGUCGAACGAGUGGCGGACGGGUGAGUAAUAUAUCGGAACGUACCCAGUAGCGGGGGAUAACUACUCGAAAGAGUGGCCAAUACCGCAUACGCUUGGAUCGGCCGAGAUCGGAAUAGCUAGUUGGUGGGGUAAAGGCUCACCAAGGCAACGAUCCGUAGAUGGUGUGAGAGGACGACCAGCCACUCUGGAACUGAGACACGGCCCAGACGCCUAUGGGAGGCAGCAGUGGGGAAUUUUGGACAAUGGGGGAAACCCUGAUCCAGCCAUCCCGCGUGUAUGAGAAGGCCUUCGGGUUGUAAAGUACUUUUGGCAGAGAUGCGGUAUCUGCAGAAUAAGCACCGGCUAACUACGUGCCAGCAGCCGCGGUAAUAC